UUAAAUUGAAGAGUUUGAUCAUGGCUCAGAUUGAACGCUGGCGGCAGGCCUAACACAUGCAAGUCGAACGGUAACAGAAAGCAGCUUGCUGCUUUGCUGACGAGUGGCGGACGGGUGAGUAAUGUCUGGGAAACUGCCUGAUGGAGGGGGAUAACUACUGGAAACGGUAGCUAAUACCGCAUAACGUCGCAAGACCAAAGAGGGGGACCUUCGGGCCUCUUG
rnacentral:rRNA from 1 species